CACUCCUGUGCCUACGACCCAGGAGCGUGUCAGCCAAAGCAUGGAGAAUCAAGAGAAGGCGAGUAUCGCGGGCCACAUGUUCGACGUAGUCGUGAUCGGAGGUGGCAUUUCAGGCCAAGAGAAGAGAUUGGCAUGAACUGUUGCUUUGACAGUUCCAGCCAGUACCAGCAAAAACAUACAUGUAUGUUGGAGCAUCAGAGGAAAGCAGCUCCUGGUGGAGAGACUAUCUGCUGCCAAACUCUUGACUGAAUAUGGCGUUAGUGUUUUAGUUUUAGAAGCUCGGGACAGGGUUGGAGGAAGAACAUAUACUAUAAGGAAUGAGCAUGUUGAUUACGUAGAUGUUGGUGGAGCUUAUGUGGGACCAACCCAAAACAGAAUCUUACGCUUGUCUAAGGAGCUGGGCAUAGAGACUUACAAAGUGAAUGUCAGUGAGCGUCUCGUUCAAUAUGUCAAGGGGAAAACAUAUCCAUUUCGGGGCGCCUUUCCACCAGUAUGGAAUCCCAUUGCAUAUUUGGAUUACAAUAAUCUGUGGCGGACAAUAGAUAACAUGGGGAAGGAGAUUCCAAAUGAUGCACCCUGGGAGGCUCAACAUGCUGACGAAUGGGACAAAAUGACCAUGAAAGAGCUCAUUGACAAAAUCUGCUGGACAAAGACUGCUAGGCGGUUUGCUUAUCUUUUUGUGAAUAUCAAUGUGACCUCUGAGCCUCACGAAGUGUCUGCCCUGUGGUUCUUGUGGUAUGUGAAGCAGUGCGGGGGCACCACUCGGAUAUUCUCUGUCACCAAUGGCGGCCAGGAACGGAAGUUUGUAGGUGGAUCUGGUCAAGUGAGCGAACGGAUAAUGGACCUCCUUGGAGACCAAGUGAAGCUGAACCAUCCUGUCACUCAUGUUGACCAGUCAAGUGACAACAUCAUCAUAGAGACACUGAACCAUGAAC
rnacentral:sRNA from 1 species